CCCGCUGAACUUAAGCAUAUCAAUAAGCGGAGGAAAAGAAACUAACAAGGAUUCCCCUAGUAACUGCGAGUGAAGCGGGAAAAGCUCAAAUUUAAAAUCUGGCGGUCUUUGGCCGUCCGAGUUGUAAUCUAGAGAAGUAAUGCCCGUGCUGGACCGUGUAUAAGUCUCCUGGGAUGGGGCGUCAUAGAGGGUGAGAAUCCCGUCUUUGACACGGACUACCAGUGCAUUGUGGUAUGCUCUCAAAGAGUCGAGUUGUUUGGGAAUGCAGCUCAAAAUGGGUGGUAAAUUCCAUCUAAAGCUAAAUAUUGGCGAGAGACCGAUAGCGAACAAGUACCGUGAGGGAAAGAUGAAAAGAACUUUGGAAAGAGAGUUAAACAGUACGUGAAAUUGCUGAAAGGGAAACGCUUGAAGUCAGUCACGUUGACUCGGAAUCAGCUCUGCUUUUGCUGGGUGUACUUUCUUGUCAAUGGGUCAGCAUCAAUUUUGACCAUUGGAUAAAGUUGCUGGGAAUGUAGCAUCCUUUUGGAUGUGUUAUAGCCUGGUGAUGCAUACAGUGGUUGGGAUUGAGGAAUUCAGCACGCCACCAGGCCGGGUUUUGACCACGUUCGUGCUUAGGAUGCUGGCAUAAUGGCUUUAAUUGACCCGUCUUGAAACACGG
rnacentral:rRNA from 1 species